GCGAGUGCGCCAGACUCUUCCGUCUUCCGGAAGCGGAGCCGGACUGGCAACGGCUGGUGUCGCGAUAGCGGCGGUGGCGGGCACUGCGGAAGCGAGAAGGAGUAAAGGGGAUCCCGGCCUGGCUCCCGCGCCGGGGUGGAGCACCAUGGACGAAGCGGGCAGCUGUGCGAGCGGCGGAGGCUUCCGCCCGGGUGUGGACAGCCUAGACGAGCCACCCAACAGCCGCAUCUUCCUGGUGAUCAGCAAGUACACGCCCGAGUCGGUGCUGAGGGAGCGCUUCUCGCCCUUCGGAGAGAUCCAGGAUAUCUGGGUGGUGCGGGACAAGCACACCAAGGAGUCCAAGGGCAUCGCCUUCGUCAAGUUUGCCCGCAGCUCGCAGGCCUGCAGGGCCAUGGAGGAGAUGCACGGCCAGUGCCUCAGCCCCAACGACACGAAGCCUAUCAAGGUUUUCAUUGCUCAGUCCAGAUCAUCUGGAAGUCACCGAGAUGUUGAAGAUGAAGAACUUACAAGAAUAUUUGUUAUGAUACCAAAGUCCUACACAGAAGAAGAUCUACGGGAAAAAUUUAAGGUAUAUGGAGAUAUCGAGUAUUGCAGCAUUAUUAAGAAUAAAGUAACUGGAGAAAGUAAAGGUUUGGGAUAUGUGCGAUACUUAAAACCAUCACAAGCUGCCCAAGCAAUAGAAAACUGUGAUCGAAGCUUUAGGGCAAUCUUGGCUGAACCUAAAAAUAAAGCAUCUGAAUCCUCAGAACAAGAUUAUUACAGUAAUAUGAGGCAGGAGACUUUGGGACAUGAACCUAGAAUAAAUAUGUUUCCAUUUGUUGGAGAACAACAAUCUGAAUUUUCAAGUUUUGACAAGAAUGACAGCAGAGGCCAGGAAGCCAUCUCCAAACGCCUGUCAGUUGUAUCAAGAGUUCCUUUCACCGAAGAACAGCUUUUCAGCAUUUUUGAUAUAGUACCAGGAUUGGAAUACUGUGAAGUUCAACGAGACCCUUAUUCUAAUUAUGGUCAUGGAGUGGUUCAGUAUUUUAAUGUAGCAUCAGCUAUUUAUGCAAAAUACAAGUUGCAUGGAUUUCAGUACCCUCCUGGGAAUCGGAUAGGUGUUUCCUUCAUUGAUGAUGGGAGUAAUGCAACAGAUCUCCUUAGAAAAAUGGCAACGCAGAUGGUAGCUGCACAGCUUGCAUCAAUGGUGUGGAAUAACCCAAGUCAGCAGCAAUUUUUGCAAUUUGGAGGAAGUUCUGGAUCACAGCUGCCUCAAAUCCAGACAGAUGUGGUACUUCCAUCAUGCAAGAAAAAAGCCCCUCCUGACACUCCUGUGAAAGAAAGACUUUUUAUCGUGUUUAAUCCUCAUCCUUUACCUUUAGAUGUACUAGAGGAUAUAUUCUGCCGUUUUGGUAACCUGAUCGAAGUUUACCUUGUGUCAGGAAAAAAUGUGGGGUAUGCCAAGUAUGCAGAUAGAAUAAGUGCUAAUGAUGCCAUUACUACUUUACAUGGAAAGAUCCUAAAUGGAGUCAGACUUAAAGUUAUGCUGGCAGAUUCCCCAAGAGAAGAAUCUAACAAACGACAGAGAACUUACUGAUUCUUGAGAAACUAACUCAAGAACCACGGAUCCUGGGAACUGAAGAUGCCAGCUGGAAUGGAGCAGUGUCUGCAGAGUUGUGUAGUUCAGGAUUCCUCUACUCAUCCAGAUGUGACGGUAACAGAAAAGGAUUCUGUGAUGUGGAACGUACUACUCGUUUACCCUUUGUAGAAAAAAAAAUUACUUGAAUAUAUCAGUACACUACCAGAAUGAAUCAAAAUUCAGAAUAAAAGAAUGAGAAAAGAAAGGCCAGUCGCUAGAUCCUUUGGGCUUCCUUGGAUUUCCUGGAGGAAUGAAAUAGGCCAGCAUUUGGUGCCCACCUGCUUGACACUACAUCAGCAGCUGAGUGGAGUAUAAAAGCUGAAAGCCAUCCUUGGAACCUGAUAAUUCCCCUGAAGUGCGUUUCAAAGGACAGAAAUUGUACAGGUCUUGUUCUUUGACCACAAGGUAAUAAAACCAGAAAAUAAAAAACACAAUCAUCUGGAAAAUAACUUUUAAACCUUCUAAACAGCUAUUUUGUCAAGAAAAUGCUGUAAAAUAUAGUGAAACAAAACAGCAAAAAAAAAGUAGAGGAUGAUGUGUUUAAAGUAAUACUGAAAGGCAAAUUGAUAGCCAUUGCAUAGAAAGGGAGAAUGAAUGAAUUAAACAUGCAGCACUUCGGGAACAAAAGGAACAUAAUAAAGAUAAGAUUAACGUUACCCUGACAUCAAAACUUAAAGGCAAUUUAAUAUUAAAGCUACAGAUUCUUAGUUCACCCAGGAAUAUGAAUGCAAACCUCAAAUUUUAGAAGGUACAAAUAUGUCCGAAGAACAAUUCACCAUUGCCAAGUAGGGUUUAUCCUUUGAUGAAAAAGCAGUUCACAUUAAGGAAAAAUUUAUUAUAGUACAUGUCUUAGUGGGGCCAUAUAUGCGAUCUAUUUGACCAGUUGAUCAUUCUUAUGAUCAUACAGAUGCCACAGACUUUCAGAUUAUGUAUGGUUUACUUGAGUCACUACCUGGAGUGGGUGGGAUUUGCCCAAUUUAUUUGAAGGGAUCACUACAUGACUGCUAUAUAAUGGGAAAGCACAGAAUGGAUACUGAUGAAGCAAUCAGAAUGUCUAAAACUGCUUCUUAGAAAAAGCUUAAUUUAUUGAGCCCUUACUGUUAGCCAGGCUAAUUGCUUUACACACAUCUCAAAACCUAUGAAGUAGAUACUAUUGUUCCUGUUUUAAAGAAAGGGAGCUGAAGUACAUUCAAAGGGAUGAAGUAACUUGCCCAAGAUCACACAGCCAACAGAUGGGGAAGCUGGGCCUCAAAUAAAGGCAGAAUUAAUCAGAGCCCAUACUUGAGCUCUACACUAAAUAUCAAUGGCUGUAACAGUUCAGAAACCACCACACACACAAAUUGAAUAUUACACAGCAACAACAAAUCCUUCCAAAACUAUGUUGUGAAGAAAGCAAGAGAGUUAAAGAUUACAGAUGGCAGGAUGAAGAGGAUGACUCAGUAGUUUGGGGGUCAGAGCGUUGGUUCCUUUUUCACCCCGGUUGUACAAGUUUAUCUAACAAAUACAUUGAGCACUACUGAGUGCCAGGAAAUGCAAUGAUGAGAAGAAGAAGAAAAAUCUUCUUGCCCUGAUGUAGUUUAGUCUAAUUAUGAUGUAGUUUGAAGAAAUGGUGUAGUGUGUUAUGGGGUCAGCUGCCACUUGGGUAAGGCAGGCUGGUUCCUCCUAAACCUACCACUUUCAGAGGAUUUGCCAGAAUGAAAGAGUUCACCUUUUUCUGUCCCCCUUCACUUGUCCACACUUAAGUCUCUUUUUUUGUUUGUUUUACAAGGUCUUACUGUUUUGCUUUGGAGUUUUAAAUUACAGUGUAGUGCACAAAUCACAAAUGUAAGAUUCAAUAAAUUUUGACAAAUGCAUGCAUUCUUGUAACCCACUGUUAGAGACUAUUUCCGUGGGUUCCUUACAAGUCUCCAUUUCUCGCGAACAGACACUGUCUCUUUUCAGGAAUGUUUAUAUAGAGAACAGUCUUGGAAGACAGAGUCUCCUUCUGGAGCAAGAGGCUGGUUUGUUUACUGUCCAGUAUAAUAAAGAUAAUGUCUCCUUCCAGGGCAAAGGACAGGCAAACUUACUGCCUUUUAUAAAAGAUUUAGGUUCCCUAAGCUUAGGGUUCCUCAGUUCUGUCACAGACUUAACUAUGUGCACAGCAUCCAUCUGGGCCUCUCGGUAUCACCCCCUGUAAGGCUUAGGAGGCAAGAACCAAUGCAAACAUGAAGCUCAGGCUGCUUAUUGUGCUGUGGAUAAUGAAGUCCUUUACAAAUGUUCACAUGUUUAGUGAUGUUUUCUUGUUUACUGUGUCAGGCUAACUUGUUAUCUUGCAAGCAGGGUAAAAAUCUCAGGCCCUUCAGAGUUCUUGACAACCACACUCCUUCAAAAUGCAGAUCAUUUCCCUUGGAGCAGCACAUUCCCUCAUGCCCCUUUCCAAUCAGUCUCACAAGAGAUGAUCCUCUUUCUGAUGGUUAUCACAAUAUACAGUUUUGCCUUAUCACAUUCAUGGAACAUACCCACUUUUGUGCUUAUCUGCUUCACUCAGCAUAAAGUCUGUGAGAUUCAUCCAUGCUUUGUGUAUAUCAGUGGUUCAUUCCUUCUCAUGGCCAGGUAACUUUCCAUUAUAAGACUAGACUUCAAUUUAUUUAUCCAUUCUCCUGUUGAUGGAUAUUUGAGUUGCUUUCAAUUUGGAGAAUAAAGCUGCAAUAAACAUUCACAUAGUUAAUAACAUUUUCAUGUAUACAGGACAUUGAGAAUAAGUCCUUGUAGAGACUCUGGAUUCUACUAUCUUCUUCUGAAGAAUGUUUAUUUUUGUUAUAGCAGGCACUGUUUUUAUGUGGACUCAAGUUUCCAGCUCUGUCUUUGCAGUGAGCAGCCGUUAAAAGUUUCUUUCAUCGCUUCCAGCCUUCCAGCUGUUGUCUUCCACCAGACCUGUUAUGGUCUCCCCAACCCAAACGUAGCCAAAGGAGUCAGCCAAAAAUUUGGGUGAGGUUUGUCAGAGAUUCUGAGACUCUAUUUUGUGACUCUGUCCUUUCAGGGUAUCCUCCCUUAUUCAGAGUUACUUGGACUUCCUUAAACUCUGCCCAUUGACCCUUGAAGCCAGUAAAACUGCGCUUUUCUGAGUAUUAGCAUUCCUGCACUCAGGAGGACCUGAGAGUGCCCGCAGGCAGAAAGCUUUAUAAACGAAUCUUACCUAAUGUGAUUUCCUCCUUUCAACAUGUUUACUCCCCUCAGUUUCUACCUGCUUUUGAUCAUUUUCCAGUGCCUUCACAUAUAGUAAUUCUUUCUGAUUGUGUAGUCAAGAAUGCCCAUUAAAUUUUUUAUUUCAA